rnacentral:rRNA from 1 species
GCUUGCUCCUUUGACGUUAGCGGCGGACGGGUGAGUAACACGUGGGUAACCUACCUAUAAGACUGGGAUAACUUCGGGAAACCGGAGCUAAUACCGGAUAACAUAUUGAACCGCAUGGUUCAAUAGUGAAAGGCGGCUUUGCUGUCACUUAUACAUGGAGCCGCGCCGUAUUAGCUAGUUGGUAAGGUAACGGCUUACCAAGGCAACAAUACGUAUCCGACCUGAAAGGGUGAUCGUCCACCCUGGAACUGAGACACAGUCCAAACUCCUACGGGAGGCAGCAAUAGGGAAUCUUCCGCAAUGGGCGAAAGCCUGACGGACCAACGCCGCGUGAGUGAUGAAGGUCUUCGGAUCGUAAAACUCUGUUAUCAAGGAAGAACAGAUGUGUAAUUAACUGUGCACAUCUUGACGGUACCUGAUCAGAAAGCCACGGCUAACUACGUGCCACCAGCCGCGGUAAUACGUAGGUGGCAAGCGUUAUCCGUGAAUUAUUGGGCGUAAAGCGCGCGUAUGCGGUUUUUUAAGUCUGAUGUGAAAGCCCACGGCUCAACCGUGGAGGGACAUUGGAAACUGUGAAAACUUGAGUGCAGAAGAGGAAAGUGGAAUUCCAUGU